rnacentral:rRNA from 1 species
GAUGAACGCUGGCGGCGUGCCUAAUACAUGCAAGUCGAACGCUGAAACGAGGAGCUUGCUCUUCUUGGUUGAGUGGCGAACGGGUGAGUAACGCGUAGGUAACCUGCCUUGUAGCGGGGGAUAACUUUUGGAAACGGGAGCUAAUACCGGAUAACAAUGGAAGACACAUGGCGUUUAAUUGAAAGGCGCAAUUGCUUCACUUCAUGACGGAUCUGGGUGGUAUUAGCUUGUAGGUGAGGUAACGGCCAACCAAGGCAACGAACCUUAGCCGGCCGGAGAGGAUGACCGCCCACAUGGGAACGGAACCACGGCCCAGACUCCUACGGGAGGCAGCAGUGGGGAAUAUUGGCCAAUGGGGGAAAGCCUGACGCAGCAAGCCCGCGGGUGUGAAGAAGGUUUCCGGUUUGUAAACUCCGUUGAGCGGGGAGGAAGAGAGUGAGAGUGAAACGUUCACACUGUGACGGUAGCUUAACAGAAAGCGACGGCUAACUACGUG